rfam:Poecilia formosa, whole genome shotgun sequence.
UCCCUGAUGGUCUAGUGGUCAGGAUUAGGCGCUCUCAUCGCUGCGGCCCGGGUUCGAUUCCCAGUCAGGGAA